rnacentral:tRNA from 1 species
GGGUGCGUAGCUCAGUGGAGUAGAGCAACUGCCUUCUAAGCAGUCGGUCAUUGGUUCAAAUCCAAUCGCACCCG